UACGGAGGGUGCGAGCGUUGUCCGGAAUCAUUGGGCGUAAAGGGCGCGUAGGUGGCCUGCUAAGCGUGCGGUGAAAGUCGGGGGCUCAACCCCCGAUCGGCCGUGCGAACUGGGAGGCUUGAGCACUGUAGAGGCAGGCGGAAUUCCGGGGUGUAGCGGUGGAAUGCGUAGAGAUCCGGAGGAAGACCGGUGGCGAAGGCGGCCUGCUGGGCAGUUGCUGACACUGAGGCGCGACAGCGUGGGGAGCAAACAGG
rnacentral:rRNA from 1 species